rnacentral:rRNA from 1 species
CAAUAGCGUAUAUUAAAGUUGUUGCAGUUAAAAAGCUCGUAGUUGGACCUUGGACCUGGACAGGCGGUCCGCCUCACGGCGUGUACUGUCUUGCUGGGUCUUUCCUCUUGGUGAUCUGUUGUUUCGGCAGCAGGGAACCAGGACUUUUACUUUGAAAAAAUUAGAGUGUUCAAAGCAGGCUCGACGCCGGAAUAUAUUAGCAUGGAAUAAUAAAAUAGGACGUGCGGUUCUAUUUUGUUGGUUUUUGGAAUCGCCGUAAUGAUUAAUAGGGACAGUCGGGGGCAUUAGUACUCACAUGCUAGAGGUGAAAUUCUUGGAUUUUGUGAAGACUAACUUCUGCGAAAGCAUUCGCCAAGGAUGUUUUCAUUAA